ACACCUCUCAAAUCUCCUCAAGGAUUAGAAAAUAUAUUGACCAAGAUAUCAGUUCACUGGUUGAUUAGUUGGACCAUCGACUAAACUAUAAUUUAUUAAAAAUAUGUUUUGUUUUUAAUCAAAUCACAAAGCUACAUAUAAUUGAGAGUCAAAAUAUUUGUUUCUCAUAGAAAGGGCGAUGGUUCAAAGAAUAAUUAUGUUUUUAUUUGUUUCUGCAUUUAUUUAUUAAAAAAACGAAAAACACCACAGCUGAGGAAAAGAAAUUGGGAAAAAAGACAGAACGGAUCCAAAAACUUGCCGAUAAAAAAAGUUAGGAACAAAAAACACCGUAGUUGAAGAACAAAUUUUGAAAAAAUAAAAUAGGACAAAUCGGAUGCACUUUACUGCGUCCGAGGAACAUGUGCGCCAGAGAAAAUAACUUGCGAACAAAAACAUUAGAAAUGUGAGGACAAAACGUUAAGCUUGUUACUUGUAACACCCGAUUUUAAGGACAAAAUCAGAUAUGCACCAGAUGUGAGUUUUAGAAGACAAACCCCACAUAUAGCUACAAAUAAGGG
rnacentral:lncRNA from 1 species